GCUUACAUGGUUCCUUUAGAGGGUGCUGACGGAACAAAAGCCAAAGCAGUAGCAGUCUGCCACACAGAUACAUCAGCAUGGAACCCUAAGCAUUUGGCUUUUCAAGUCCUAAAAGUUGAGCCAGGAACCAUUCCUGUCUGCCAUUUCCUUCCUCGGGAUCACAUUGUUUGGGUCCCUAAGUAAAAGUCCUGAAGAGUAGAUUCAUACACUAUAGUUUCUUCACAGUGUGCAUUAAAACAGCUUAAAGCAAUAUCCAGUUUGUUCUAUAAUAAUAUACCCACAAGUUUAGUCAUGUAAAAUCUAUCCAUGAAUCAUGUUCUUAGUAAUGGAUAAAAUGAUAUUACUUUCUGUAUCACAAGGGUUUGGUGAUAAAUGUAUUAGUAUUUUAAGUAACUUUUCAGACAUCGUAUUCCAAGUAACUUUGCGGACAUUAUGUUUCUCCAUUAGAUUACUAAUUCUCUUUCAUCACAGAUUAGCCAUCUCCACAGGAAAAUUCUCUGAAGGUAAACUAUCAUGUUCAUCACUCGAUUGCAAUCCGAGAAGAAAUUGUUUUUCCUAUGUCCCAAUAGCAGAAAAAUUUUGGACCAAUUUACAUGAUACAUAUGAGAAUUUUCUAAACAGAGUGUCAUGUCAUGUAUCUCGAAGGAUGCUAACUUAAUAUAGUAAGACCAGCAUUAAAAUCUUUUCAGAUAUGAGUAGGUUCCAAAGUACUCAAAUUUGAGCACCUGUACGGAACAAACCAUUGUGUGCACUGUGCAGCUCUUCGUGUCUGAUUCCUCCACCACUGUGAUGAGCAGCUGCAGCAUCCUCAGUGGCUAACCUCAGGCCCUUGAAAGACUUAUUCAACAGAUUAUGGUGAUAAGUCAAAUAAUUAUAAAUGAUGUCGGCUCCACGGAUCCUUUUAUUCCUGCAAUGCGGAUAAAUGCCCAAGAAUGUUUUAUAAUUAGAAAUGCCUGGAGAAACAAACAAAACCUAUUGGUUAGUUGUGUAAUAUAAUUAUAUACGUGUAUAUGUAUAUAUAGAAACAUGAUUCAUGAGGUUGCUUUAAUCAUUUUCUUCCCCAAUAAUCUGAGUUUUACUGCUCUCUAAUGAUUAUUACUAUCCAAUAAAGAAAAAUGACUUCUUAAACCAAUGUUGGUUUGCCAAAAAAAUAAUCCAACAACAAUAUUUGUUUUCUGAUCACCAAAUUGCAGUGCUGAAAUUUUUUUUAAACGAGUGGAUGACACAAAUCUCCACCAAAGCAAAUGGUUAUGAAACAAAUGGGGUCUUAAUGAAGUGGGGGCAAGGGGUGUUGUUCCAAUAGGGUCGGAAGCGUGUAAAUUAUUGUACUAAAAAAUCACACAAAGUUCAAUUCUCAGGGAAGAGAGGUGGAUCACAUGGAUCUCUUAAAUACCAAGUCUUUCCUUAGACAGAAUAUCCCUUCUAUAGUAAUUUAAUAGCACAAUUAAAUACUACUAUUAUACCCUCAAAUAUUGAAAGAAAAAUAGGACAAGAAAGAACACAAGAGUUUUAACGAGGUUCGGUAAAUUAUACCUACGUCCUCGGGCACUAACACCAGAUGAUAACUUUACUAACUUCAAAGUAUUACAAACAAAUAGAAUUCCUUAAGAAUUCUCAAAUGGGAGAAAAAGAAAACUAAGAGAGAAAGAUUGGUUGGGAUGAAUUGAAAUGAGAAAUGAGAAGGCCUAUUUAUAGUUGAGGUUCAAGGACCAAACAAUAAAUAGCCCAUUAUCUCAAGGACCAAAAAAAAAUUAUCCUUGCCACUUUUCCAAAGUUGGUGGUUGUCAUUAUUGAUUGUCUCCCAUUAAUGUUAAUGGCAACCAUUAUUAAUUGUCUUCCAUUAAUGUUAACAAUCUCCACCUUGAAGAUUUGAUUAGGAUAAUCACAUCUUCACACACUUCCUUCAACUCCCCAAAUUCGAUAAAGCUAUCUUUUGUAGUGCCUACAAAUGCGCUCUCGAGCGCCAUACACCUGAAGGUGCUCAAAUUCUCAGUAUGUUAAUCAAGUUCAAACAAUGAUUAAACUUGAUUGUUGUUACCACCUUGGUCAUCAUAUCUGCGGGAUUAUCUGCUGUCGGAAUCUUCUGAAGUAGAAUUUUUCCUUUUUCAAAGACUUCCCGCACAAAGUGAUAUCUUACGUCGAUAUGCUUGGUUCUUGAAUGAUAGACUUGAUUUUUCGCUAAAUGAAUAGCGCUCUGACUGUCACAAUAUAAACUUAUGUGACUUUGAACAACUCCUAAGUCUUUCAACAAUCCAUUAAGCCAAAUAGCCUCCUUAACAGCUUCUGUAACUGCCAUAUAUUCUGCCUUUGUAGUAGACACAGCUACUGUAGACUGUAAGGUAGACUUCCAACUCACUAGGGCUUUCGCAAGAGUAAACAGAUACCCCGUAGUUGAACGACGUUUAUCUAAAUCACCAGCAAAGUCGGAAUCAACAUAUCCAACUACAAACUGACCAAGUGCUUCAUCCUGUUCAAAAAUUAAACCAACAUCUACGAUUUUUCGAAGAUACCGUAGAAUCCAUUUCACAGCUUGCCAAUGUCCUUUUUCAGGAUCAUGCAUAUACCUGCUCACAACUCCAACAGCUUGUGAAAUGUCAGGCCUCGUACACACCAUCGCAUACAUCAAACUCCCAACUGCAUUAGCAUAUGGGACUUUCGCCAUAUAUUCUCUUUCAUCUUUAGUCUUCGGAGAUAAUUGAGCACUAAGUUUCAAAUGAGAAGCAAGUGGGGUACUUACAUGUUUUGUGUUUUCAUUUACACCAAAACAUUGUAAUACCUUUUUCAGAUAUUGCUUCUGAUUUAAACAGAGCUUGCCUCUCGGUCUAUCUCUACUUAUCUCCAUGCCGAGAAUCUUCUUGGCCUCACCUAGAUCUUUCAUCUCGAACUCUUGAUUCAACUGAGCCUUCAGCUUAUCUAUCUCAUUUUGGCUCUUCGAAGCGAUUAACAUAUCAUCAACAUACAAGAGUAGAUAAAUGAAAGAUCCGUCAUGCAGCUUCUGCAAAUAUACACAAUUGUCAUAUUUGCUUCUUGUGUACUUUUGCCUUCUCAUAAAGCUAUCAAAUCGCUUGUACCACUGCCUCGGGGAUUGCUUCAAUCCAUAUAGCGAUUUGUUAAGCUUACAAACCCAAUUUCUACCACCAGCAUCUGUGUAUCCUUCUGUCUGAGUCAUAUAGAUCUCCUCUUCUAACUCACCAUGCAAGAAAGCCGUCUUAACAUUGAGCUAGCUCCAAAUUCAACUGUGCUACCAAGGCCAACAAAAUUCUAAUGGAGGAAUGCUUCACAACAGGGGAAAAUACAUCAUUGUAGUCAAUUCCCUCCUUCUGAGCGUAGCCUUUAGCUACCAAUCUUGCCUUGUAGCGAAUAUCCUUCUUGCUAGGAGAUCCAUCUUUCUUUGCGAAUACCCACUUGCAUCCGAUUGCCCUUUUACCUUUCGGUAAUUGCGCCAACUCCCAAGUAUUGUUCUUCCGGAGAGACUGCAUUUCUUCAUCCAUGGCGCUUUUCCAUUUAUCACUUUCUAAGCUUUGCAUUGCUUCUUGAUAAGUGAUAGGAAUAUCAUCAACAACGAGAAGGGCGUAGGCCACCAUAUCAGUAAAUCGAGUAGGUUUACGAAUUUCUCUCCGUGGCCUUGCAACUGCAACUGGUUCUGGUGUACUUAGUGGUUCUUGGGUCAGAACCUCUUCAACCUCUAAUUCCUCCAUUGUGGCUGGAGAAUUAGACUUAUUGACUGGGCAAAUCCCCAUCUGCUCAAACUCCACCUGUUUUGGAGUACACUCCACCUGCUGUGGAGUAUUGCUCGUCUGAAUAUCUUUAUCUGCUACCUUUUUCAAUGUGGCAGAUUCAUCAAAGGUAACAUCUCUGCUACAAAUCAUUUUCUUUGUGCUUAAGCACCAAAGACGAAAUCCCUUCACUCCAGAAGUGAUUCCUAUAAAGAGAGCUUUCUUUGCCCUCGGAUCUAAUUUUGACUCCUUUACAUGGUAAUAUGUAGUGGUUCCAAACACAUGUAAGGAAUCAUAAUCUGUAGCCGGUUUUCCAGACCAUACCUCCAUAGGAGUUUUUCUUUCUAAUGCAGAUGAUGGCAAACGAUUAACAAGAUGGCCAGCGUAUGUCACAGCCUCAGCCCAAAAUUGCUUGCCCAACCCAGCAUUGGACAACAUACAUCGAACUUUCUCCAGCAAUGUUCGAUUCAUACACUCUGCCAAUCCAUUCUACUGUGGUGUAUCCCUAACUGUGAAGUGUCGAACAAUACCAUACUCUUGGCACACAUCGAAGAACGGAUCACUUUUAUAUUCCCCUCCAUUGUCCAUCCUAAGCCGCUUGAUUUUCUUGCCAGUCUGGUUUUCGAUCAUAGUUUUCCAUUUAAGAAAAACUCUAAGCACUUCAUCCUUAGUUCUCAUGGUAUACACCCAAACUCUUCUGGAAAAGUCAUCAACAAAAGUAACAAAGUAGUGUUUUCCUCCCAAUGAACGUGUCUUGGAAGGCGCCCACACAUCUGAGUGAACAUAUUCCAAAAUACCUUUUGUAUUAUGGAUAACAGUACCGAAUUUCACUCUCUUUUGCUUUCCCAGAACACAAUGCUCGCAAAAUUUUAAUUUGCAAGCCUUUGCACCUUUCAACAAUCCUUGCUUUGCCAGAAUUUGCAAGGAUUUUUCGCUGGCAUGUCCCAACUUCAUAUGCCACAACUGUAUUGAGUCCAAUUCUUUGUUGCCGGAAGCUGCAGCGACUGCUCCAAUAACUGUACUACCUUGGUAGUAAUACAAGUUAUUUUUCCUGAUGCCCUUCAAUAUCACAAGUGCGCCAGAUGUCACUUUCAAAACCCCAUCUCUCAUAGUAACAACUGAACCAUUGGAUUCCAAGGCUCCCAAUGAGAUGAGAUUUUUCUUCAAACUGGGCACGUACCGAACAUCAGUCAGAACUCUGGUUGAUCCAUCUUUAUUCUUUAAUUGGAUUGAACCUAUCCCAACAGUUUUACAGGCAUUGUCAUUGCCCAUAUAAACAACUCCUCCAUUUAGUUCUACUAAAUCAGAGAACCACUCCCGGUUAGGGGACAUAUGAUAGGUACAACCCGAAUCCAAUAUCCACUCAUCUGAAUGGAACGACGAUGAUGAUGCAACCAGUGAUAGUUCAGAGUCACUAGUAUCAUGCUUAGCAACACAAGCAUCUAUAGCAGCUUUUCCCUUAUUCUUCAGCUUUGGACAAUUUUUAUUCCAGUGGCCUUUCUCAUGAUAAAAAGCACAUUCAUCUUUCCCAAGUCUGGACUUUGACUUUGAUCUCCCCUUUUGAGUUUUCUUCCGAGUGUAUGAACGACCUCGGACUACUAAAGCUUCUGUAUCUCUGAUUGAGUUUUUCUGUUUGUCCUUCUUUCUCUGUUCAUAACUGUAUAAGGCCGCACAGACUUCGCUCAGAGAUAUAUCACUCCUGCCAUGAAGUUGAGUAGUUUCUAGGAACUCAAACUCCUCAGGAAGUGACCCCAACAGCAUCAAAGCCAAAUCUUCAUCUUUGAAUGUCUCAUCCAUAUUCAACAAAUCAGUGACUAACUGAUUAAAUUUGGUGAUGUGAUCAUUCAUUGUGGUACUUGGGACGUAUGUGAAGCGAAAUAGUCUUUUCUUCAAGUGGAGCUUAUUUUGACUGUUUUUCUUCAAAAAAAAUUUUUCAAGUGCCACCCACAACUUAUUUGCAGAAGUCUCCUUUGAAAAAGCAUACCUCUGCUCUCGAGAAAGGCAUGAUCGAAUUGUGCCACAUGCCAACCGAUUGAUUGCCUUCCAAUCUUUCUCCUAUACAUCAUCUGGUUUCUCUUCAUCAAUGGCAAUGUCUAGACCCUGCUGAAAAAGGGCAUCUAGAACAUCACUUUGCCACAUACCAAAAUGGCCCGUACCAUCAAAGAUCUCCACGGCCAAUCUUGCAUUUGCAAUUGUCGGUCUUGUCCACAUGGACGAUGUUGAAGCUCCUACACUGACCGUUUUCUCCAUAAUCUUUCAAUAUACCUAAGGAAAUCUUUUCUGAUGUGGAAGAUCAGUUUAAACUGCAACCACAGAGCAUACUACGAUUAACCUUCGGCUCUUGAUACCACUUGUUGUUCCAAUAGGGUCGGAAGCGUGUAAAUUAUUGUACUAAAAAAUCACACAAAGUUCAAUUCCCAGGGAAGAGAGGUGGAUCACAUGGAUCUCUUAAAUACCAAGUCUUUCCUUAGACAGAAUAUCCCUUCUAUAGUAAUUUAAUAGCACAAUUAAAUACUACUAUUAUACCCUCAAAUAUUGAAAGAAAAAUAGGACAAGAAAGAACACAAGAGUUUUAACGAGGUUCGGUAAAUUAUACCUACGUCCUCGGGCACUAACACCAGAUGAUAACUUUACUAACUUCAAAGUAUUACAAACAAAUAGAAUUCCUUAAGAAUUCUCAAAUGGGAGAAAAAGAAAACUAAGAGAGAAAGAUUGGUUGGGAUGAAUUGAAAUGAGAAAUGAGAAGGCCUAUUUAUAGUUGAGGUUCAAGGACCAAACAAUAAAUAGCCCAUUAUCUCAAGGACCAAAAAAAAAUUAUCCUUGCCACUUUUCCAAAGUUGGUGGUUGUCAUUAUUGAUUGUCUCCCAUUAAUGUUAAUGGCAACCAUUAUUAAUUGUCUUCCAUUAAUGUUAACAAGGGGUGUCUUCAGAUGCAUAUGAAUUUGGUUUACAGGCGAGAUAGAUCACAAAUAUUAUAUUGAUAAAAAAAAUUGAUAUCGUUCGUGGAAAAUCAUUAGUGGAAUGAAGGAGUUAAAGUUCACAUGUUAUUCAUAGAAUGAAUUGAAAGAGUUGAGAGUUUUGAGAGAGAAUUUCAGAAAAAUAAUAAGUGGGAUGUGCAUGUUUUUCUAGAUUAUUUGAAGGCAUGUACGUAAUUAUGCACAACUUAUGGAAUAUAAGUGUUUUAUAUGUAUAAUAUAUUUAUUAAGUUACGAUGAAUCCUUUCACACGUUACUUUUAAAGUUAUGUAAAGUCUUAUUUUUAUAAGUAGUUUUAAGUUAAUAUUAAUGUGAUUGGACGAGACCCACAUAUUGAACAUAUAAAAAAAGUAUCGAUAAUCAUGUAAAAUAAAAUGUAAUCUUCAAAGUAAGUGAAUUUUUUUAAUCAAAAUGGAUUGACUUGACGAAAUUUUUUAAAACGAAAUAAAUAAAUAUCAUCUUACAUAUAUUUAUAUAUGUGUGCAAUAUACAUAAAUGUACCCUUAGCCCACCAAAACUUUCUUUCGCAAAUUUUAGACGGCGAACCAAAACCAAGGUACCUAACCACGUCCUACAAACCAGAUGUUCGUAUAGGUUAGAUGCAGGAUUAAGAAGCCACAACCUAUAAGGCUAAAACUUGCCACAUGCCCAUAUGACAUCUUACUUUCAAAAAAAAGAAAAAACAUGACAUUCAACUCAAAUCCUAUACAAAUACCUUUAUUUGUAAGAAGAAAUUUUCUCAUUUAUUGACUAUAAUUAUUAGAUUUUACAAGUAAAAUUUACAAAGUGGCACAGAUAUUUAGUCCAAUGAUAAAUCCGCUUUAUAGAUGAAAAGUAUAAAAAAUUAUAUAUUUUUCUUUUAAAUGAAAGCUAAAUUAAAAAAAAAACAAUUAUAUGGCUGAUUGUUUUUAUUGUAUUUUAAAAAAAGUUAAGUGAGUAGGUUUUUUACCCUGUGAUUCCCAAAAAAAAUGUUGUCAUCGAGGAUUGUUACCUAUACACAGAUAAAUUCAAGGAAAACUAUUUCAUGCAAGCUAAUCAUAUUUAAAAGCAAGCAAAGGGUCGUAAACAUUGUAGAUUGGAGCAUUUCAUGAAACAUAGUUACAAGCUAGAGUAUCAUCCCAUGACCCAUAGCAGUCUUCUAUAUUAUUGGGUUUUUGCAAACUUGGGCUUGAAUACACAAAUAGAAUAUAAUCACAGAAAACUUUGUUUUUUGUGUAUUGAAUUUGGGUUUAUGCUUCAUUUUAUUAUCGACAAUGAUAUCAGAACCUAUUUUAAAUCCAACAUCAUGACGAUUUGAUUUUUAUUUGUUUAAUAAUAUUUUGUCCCCUAACUAAUUGGCAAUUGAAAACUUCUACCCUUUGUAUGCAUGAUUAGUUUAGAAAUUUUGUGCAUAAUUAUCAAGCAACGUCGUGAUUACAAUUCUUGAACUCGAUUCCAUGAUAAGGAGUUCAAAUUUUAAAGUCGACCAAAGCAAGUUAGUAUCUUUCACUCUUUUAACAUAUAUUUCCAACUUCAUAUAUAAACAUUUAUUUAUACUCAUGGUUUAGAAACAGGGCUGAAAAAACUCUCUUGAAAGCAGAUACCAUUGGCGGCAGCCAUGGGUUUAUGUGAAGAAGAAAAGAUGCCUCUAUCUCUAUGAGUAGAAUUAUUGCAGUGGGUCACACCUUCGCUUUCAUUUACUUCAACUUCUCAGGUAAUAUUCCAACAUUACAGCGUUGAAUUGUUUGCAAAUUUAUUUACCUCAUAUUCCCACUUUCUUUGAUCUCUCCUUGUCCCAACCACGUUGGAUUUUGAACCAUUUGGUCUUAUAUUACAUAACAUACAAAUGAAAAGAAAAGAAAAACAUUUGCGAUUCCGACCAUAAAUAAAUAAUGUUCUGUUCUGUAACGAGAAACAGCCAAAGCUUCCAGCACUUACAAUAAUAAUAAAAGUAAUGAGGGUAAAGGCUUCAAAGUUUUUUUUUUUUUUGUUUUUUUUUAAAUAAAGGAUAAGGAGUAAGGAUUAUCUUAUGAUCCAACUUAGCAUUAGUGUUUAAUUGAAAAUUUAAAUACAAUAACUUCAAGAUAGAGUACAGUGUCCGUGUGGUGUUUGUUUUUCUACCUUCCCUGCAGGAUCCGAAACUUCCAAUUCAAGUUUCUUGCUAUAGAUAAGGUGUUUCGUAAGAAAACGUAAGUCUUAAAAGAGUUACAAGACAGCACCAGUUAUAUGGCCCUUGCUAGAUUCAUAGUUACUUUCCCAUGUACCGACUCUAAAGUGAAUGACUUUUUUUUUUCUUUGCAUAGCACUUUUUUUUUCCCCGAAAAGGAUAGGUAUCAAAAUGAUAUAUGUAUUUUAGGGCCAACACUCAGAACCACUUUUUGACCACUCAUAGUUUAGUUAAAAUCAAAUUUCGUUCUGUCUUUUGACACACUAUUUUCUCUGUCUAUUGAAAUGCUCUUCUGCUGUUGUUAGCACGCUUUCGUCUCUUGUUUUGCUUGUUGUUUAUUUUCUUUGAUUUAGUCAUUAUUGUAGUUAAGAACAUUGAUGAUUCUAUAGCAGACCUGUCACUGGAGUAUGAUGAAGAUGAAACCAUUCAAUUAGGGGCCGAAUCUUCAGAGAGUGAAACCUUGUAUGCUAAUUGUUUUGUAGGAAUGUUUCUUACCUCCAGUGUAGUUAAUUUCCAAGCGAUGAGAUUGACUUUGGCUAAUUUUUGGCAUCCAAUAGAGGGAGUCUCAAUCUCGAAUCUAGGCAAUGAAAGAUUCUUAUUCAAAUUUUAUUUUGAAGUUGACGUGGACAAAGUUGAAAAAAAUGGGUCAUGGAAUUUCAACUCUCAUCUAUUGGUGCUACAUCGGUUAAAGGAAGAGGAAGACCCUUUAUCUGUUCAAUUAAAUUGGGUAGACUUUUGGAUGCUUAUCCAUGAUCUUCCCCUUGGUUUCAUGUCUGAAGCGGUUGCUAGACAGUUGGAUAGUUUUAUUGGUGUUUUCCUUGAAUAUGAUGCAUCAACGACUCAGUUGGGUUAUAAAAGAAUAAUGAUGUUAAAUGUGCGAAUUGAUGUUAGAAAACCAUUGAAAAAGAAGAAGAAACUCACCUCUCGAAUGGUGAGUGGAUUUAUGUUCGAUUUGAAUAUGAAAAACUCAUUUUAUUUUGUUUCCUUUGUGGUAAACUAAGGCAUGGUAAAACUUUUUACCCGAUCAGAGCUCACAAUCCGCUACAAGAGUAUGUUUUCCGUUGGGAUAUAUCUUUACGUGCUCAGUUAAGGAAAAAUUUGGCUUGGAAGAGUAGAUGGUUGGUGGAGGAUGACGAUUGUGGUACUUUAAUUUAUGGAAACUAUAACACCCCUAACCCUUAUCCGUCGCCGGAACAGGGUUACAAAACAUUACCAGACUUUACAGAUUAAAUAUGAACAUUUCACAACUUUUAUUAUACAUGUUAAGAAUCAGUUAUAAAACACUCAUGUUGUCCCUUAGAUGGACCCUCAAGGCACAAUAUACACUUUAGAAAUGAAUUGGGACUAAACCGGAUACUUAGAGAAUUUUUCCUAAAAUCUCAAAAAAAUUUCUUAAAAGUAGGGGACACACGUCUGUGUGGCUCACACAGCCAGGAGACACACCCGUGUCUUAAGCCGUGUAGGCAUUCGAUGUGAGGCACACAACCGUGUCUCAGCCCGUGCCCUUACCCGUGUAACUCUCUGACUUGGGUCACACGGCCAUCCACAUGCCCGUAUGCUAGGCCGUGUGCAAGAUGUAAAGGUCACACAGCCAAGCCACACACCCGUGUGCUAAGCCGUGUGUAAAAACUUGAGCAUUCUGUUUUAAAAUUUUAAGGUGCAGGGGACACACGGCCAGACCAUACGCCCAUGUGUCAGGCCGUGUGGACGAAAAUAGACCAUUUUCAAUACAUCAAAUAGCCCCAAUCAAACAAUCAACACAAGCCAAAAAUCAUGUUUUAAACAUAAUAUAUCAUCACAAAACUCAAUUGCCAAAACUUACCAAAAUAACUCCGUUCAUUGAUUUACCAAAAUCUACUACUAAAUAUAUGCAUACUAACACAUAUAUAUGUCAUUCACAACCAUACUUCAAAUUUAGCUCUUUUCUAACUCGGCCCUAUACAUGUCAUAUAAACCAUAAAAUGUAUAACAAAAUCUACUGGAGCAAACUAGAUAGUGUGGCUCUAUGUGUUGAUCCGAUGCUUUAAACUUCUUAAAAAUCUAAAAAGAACAUUAAACGACACAGUAAGUUUAAUGAAGCUUAGCAAGUUCGCUGGCUUUAAAUAUAAAUCUUACCGAACAUACUAUAAUAAUUUAUUUAGGUAAAUUAUUUCACAAACAUUUCCUGCCAAUCACAACUUCAAUUAAUGAAUUCACUCAUUUGAGCUCAAUAUCAAUAAUAACUUAAAUUCUUCCACAUUAAUUCCAUUUGGCACUUACCAAUCAUUAUCAAACCAGAGAACGUCUUACGGAUUUGAGUACAUCGUAAAUAGAAAUCCAUAAGGGUUCAUCUAAAGCUCAAAAGAGUUAAACGGAAACCCAUUAGGGUUAAAUUGAAGCUCAAAAGAGCUAAACUGAAAUCCAGAAGCGUUAAUUUGAAACUCAUGAGUUUACUGAAGCUCGUGAGAGCUAAACGGAAAGCAAAUACGAGAGUUCGCAACAAAUGUUGAACAUCGGUUUACUUGGGUAAUUUUACCGUCAAUUCCUAUUUUGCACUAAACGACUAUACUCAAUCCUACGUUCCAUUCACUUCAAACACUUGAUGCAAUUUCAUAAAUUUAACAAUAAUUUUAUUUUCAACAAAUGUUACGAAUAAAUACAAAAAAUCAUUCAUCAAUUAACAUAUCACAUUAAAUUUUAACCAUUAGAACUUACCUGGGUUAAAUUGUGGAAAUUGUAAUGGUUCAGAGAUUAUUUGGCUAUUUUCCCAUUUUUCGCGUUGGUCUAAGGGCUCUUGAUCUAAAAUAUAAAAUUAUUAAUUCAUUAGCACAUGCUUCAAUUCUAAUUCACUUCACAAUUUAUACCACUCAAUUUUUGAAAUUAUACAAUUACCUCAACUUUUACAGUUUUUGUAAUUUAGUCCAUCGCCAAUUAACUCAUCAAAUAAGCUAAUUUUUCUCAAGUAACACUUUAUCUAAAUAUUUUAAACUAUUACACAGCCUUUGAUAAACAUAAUUUAAUACUAAACCCUAAGAUUUAAUUUUUUUACAAUUUGGUCCUAAAAUCAAUUUCCCUUGAAAGCACUUGAUAAAAUCAUCAUAUAACAAAAUUAAAACUUCAAAUCCAUGUUAAUUCAUCAUAAAAAUGCAGCACUCAUCAAUGGUAGCUUUCAAGAUUACUCAUAAAAUCAAAAACUAAUGAAUUAGAUAGUUAGACCUAAUUACAGAAGUCUUAAAAACACAAAUUUUAAGAAAAGAGCAAGAAUUGAACUCACAUGUAGCAAAAUAUGAAAUCCAACUUCUUAAGGGUUCUUCAAUGGUGUUUUUAGCUGAUAAAUUGAAGAAGAAUAACUUAGAAAAGUUGAGAAUUCAAUUUAUUUAAGUUUAUUUCACAAAAUUUACAAUUUUGCCCUUUAAUCACAUGAUUUUUGUUUUCUUUUCUGCUUAUGCCGCCUCAGGCCUUUGUUUUAGGCAUAAUUGCUCCUUAAGUCCUUCUUUGUUCAUUAAUUAAGUCAUUUAAUCAUUAUUUCUUUAAUUAGCAAGUUUUGCACCUUUUUCUAAUUUAAUCUUUUUUAAUUAAUUAACUAUCGAAACGUUAAAAUUUUCUAACGAAAUAUUUAUAAAAAUAUUUACAGCUCAGUUUAUAAAAUCGAGAUCUUGAUACCUCGUUUUCAAAACUAGUUAAUCUAACAAAUAUUUCUAAAGCAUAAAUCACUAAUUCAUAAGCCUUCUUAAAUUCAGAAUCGAAUCAAAAACACUAUAUAAUAAAAUUUAUGAAUUAAUUUAUCGGAUUUAGUGUUCUCAAACUACUAUUUUCGAAACUACUGAAAAUUGGACUGUUACAAAAACUCUAUAAAAAUACGGAAAGGAGAAAUUUUGAGGUUUCAUAAUCUGUUUGCAUAAAUCAAUGAGCAAAUUCAGAAUUUAUUUCCAAUUAUUCCCUCUCAACAAAAGGAAUGGUGAAUGUCUAGUUGACUUCAAGCCCAAUAAAUAUGGGUGAAAUGGGUCGAGCUUACAACGAAGCUAGGAACAUCUUUGAUGCGAAUAUGGCAAUUUAUGAGGAGGAGAAUAACCCAAUAAAAUAAAGUGAUGGGCUAAAAAGACCUUUUUUUAAGUCUACUUCAGGAGUUUCUAAUAAGGAAGAUUUGAAUGAAGUUUCGGGUACUCUAUUACAGGUACCAAAUUCUAGUAGAUCGCCAGGCCCUGCUAAGUGGGCUAGUCGGAUGCAAUGAAGCUGUUGAGUUGGAACAUUCAGGUAAAGGGGAGGUCUUGGACAGUUUGUUGUCUCCAGCAUAUGCUGAGAGAUAUAAAUCUCUCUAUAGUGUUCCUAAUUGAGAUGAAACUAUAGGGUUUUAAUAUGGAAGGAACAAGACGCAAAUGUGGAUUUCUUAAUGGGAUGGAUGUUGAUUCAUAUGGUAGAAGUGAGGGUUUAUCAAUGGGUUGGAGUAGCGAUUAUAAGAUUUGUCUUCGGUCUUUUUCGAGAAGGGACAUUGGCAUUAUGAUUGAUAAGGAUACUGAUGGUAAAACUUGGUGAUGUACGGGGUUUUAUGAAGUGCCCGAGGAGAAUCUGAGGAGGCAUCGUAAAAUUUAUUGCAUUCUUUAGAUGACUGCCCACAUAUCCCUAUGUUUGUAAUAGGGGAUUUUAAUGAAAUAGCUUAUUCAUCUGAAAAGAAAGGUGGAUUACUUCAGAGGGAGAGACAAAUGAGAAGAUUUUGGGAAGCUCUUUAUGAUUGCUCUCUUACAGAUUUGGGCUAUAGAGGACAAUGGUUUACCUGGGAAAAAGGUCGUACUCGAGCAAACAAUAUUAGGAAACGUUUGGAUCAAAGGGUAGCUAAUGCAGUUUGAUGGGAUUUAUUUCAAAAUUACAAAAUGCAUCAUCUCACGCAUUCUUUUUUAUUGCAAUCAGAUUUUGAAAAUAAUCAUGCGAAAUGGUGUCACUUCAAGUUCGAGGUUGCGUGGCUUUUGGAAGAAACGUGUGAGUCAAAUGUUCUAAAAUUAUAGACUGAAAAUUUGGGUGAUGUCCUUAAUAGAUUGAAGGUGUUUGGUGUGGGCCUUAAAGCGUGGUUCAAAAGGAUUAAAAAGAUAGGGGUUUGUCGAAAAAAGAUCUUAAGAAGCAAUUCAUUAAGUUGAACAAAUCAUACCUAACUGAUGAGGUGUUGGGUGAUAUUGUUGAGAUAAAACUAGCCCUUAAUAUGGAGGCCGGUAGGGAGGAACUCUACUGGGAACAAAGAGCCAGAGCUAAUUGGAUGAAAAAUGGUGACCGAAACACAAAAAUUGCAACAAAAAGAAGACGAAGGAAUAUGAUGGAUAAACUACUAGAUUUUGAUGAAAAUUAUUAUAAGAGCAAUGAGGAGCAGUUGUCACUUGCCACUGACUACUUUGCCUCUCUAUUCACUUCAACUAGAAUCGAAAAUCCAGGUUCUAUAUUAGAAGGGGUUGAGCCGUGCAUUACUCGAGCAAUGAACGAGGAACUUGCAAAGGAUUUUUCUUACGAGGAUAUUUGUAUGGCGUUAAAAUCAUGAAUACAUUAAAGACUUCUGGUGAGGAUGACUUGGGUGCAAUUUUUUAUCAAUGGUUUUGGCAUAUUAUGGGUAAAGAGGUAGCAAAUUAUUGUAUUGAGAUUUUAAAUGGAGGCACAAUAUCGCUGAAAUCAACCAGACACAAAUUGUUUUAAUCCCUAAGGUUAGCUGUCCAUGAAUUAUGGCUCUAUUUAAACCGAUUAGCCGUUAUAAUACCCUUUACAAAAUUAUUGCAAAAAUGCUAGUGAAUAGGUUUUAAAAAGUCUUUCACUAUUGUAUAGAUGAGGUACAAAGUGCAUUUGUACCAGGGAGGCUUAUCACUGAUAAUAUUUUAGUUGUCUAUGACGUUUUACACUCCAUGAAAAAGAAAAAGAAAAAGAUAAGAGAUGAAGGGUCUUUUGCUUUGAAGCUUAACAUGAGUAAAACGUAUAAUAGACUAAAGUGUGCGCUCAUUAAUGUCAUGCUUAGCCGAAUGAGUUUCUCGAAGUUGUGGGUUCAGAAAAUUAUGAGAUGUAUUGAAAUGAUUUCUUAUUCUGUGGUUAUGAGCGGAGAGGUGGGUAAUUUGUUUCUUCCUUAUCGGGGGCUUAAACAAGGGGGCCCACUUAAUCCUUAUUUAUUUCUUAUUUGGGGAAGGUCUGUCAUCUUUUCUUAGAAUGGCUGCUACAAGUGGGGAUCUCAAGGGUGCUUGCAUUAAGAGACACGCUCCAGUUAGCACCCACUUGUUAUCUUUGCAAAUGACAGUCUUAUCUUUGGAAAGGCCACAACAGAUGGGGCUAUGGUGCUUAAUGAAAGACUGGAGAUUUAUGCCAAUAGUUUGGGUCAAUUAAUAAUUUUUGAUAAGUCUGGUAUGUUUUUAGUUCCAAUGUUGAGUAGAAUAGCAAAAAAGAGGUUUAUCGAAUUUUAGGGGUUAAUCCAAACAUUAAUCCAGAAAAGUAUAUUGGUCUCCUUUAAAUCGUGGGGCAAAACAAAAAGAGGGCUUUUAGGGAGAUAAAAGAAAAUCUAAUUAAAAGAGUGUUUAGUUAGAGUUCGAGAAUGCUUUCGGUGGGUAUAAAAGAGGCCCUUAUCAAAAUAGUAUUUCAGGGAGUUCCCAUGUAUACCAUUUCUUAUUUCUUGAUGCCCAAUUCCUUUUGUAAGGAACUUGAAACUGUUAUUGCUAGAUUUUGGUGACAGAAGAAAGCUGGGAGGAAUGGUUUACAUUGGAGUUCUUGGAAACCAUUGUGUAUUCCAAAAGAGGAUAAAGGUAUGGGUUUCCGUAAUCUUUCUAAAUUUAAUAUUUCUUUAUUAGCAAAACAAUGUUAGAGAUUGAUGGAAAAUCCAGGCUCGUUAACAAGAUUAAUUCGAGAAAAAUAUUAUCACGGUUUAAAUUUUCUAGAAGCCCCAUUGGGCUCAUACCCGUCCCUAAUUUGGAAAAGUAUAUGGUGUUCCAAAGCUUUGUUAAAAUCUGGUAUUGGAUGAAGGAUUGGUUCUGGGCUAUCUAUCUUGAUAUGGCAAGACUAUUGGUUACCGAGGAAGAAUAGAGCACUAAUUACUACAAACAAGGUAGCAAGAUUGGAAUGUGUAAGUGAUUUGAUUCUCCCAAACCCAAAUAGAAGAGAUCGACAAUUAAUCUACUCAACUUUCACGGAGGAAGAAGGAAAUUUGAUUGUAAGAAUCCCUAUACCUAUCACUAAUCAAUCUGAUAAAGUAAUAUGGUCUAGAGAAAAAUCAGGUUUUUAUUCAGUAAAAAGCAGUCACAAAGCCUUCAUCGAACUUCUCAUUUGAGUACUAUUGAGCAAUAUAAUUUUAAGCAAAUUUGGAGUUUAACGUGCCUAUCAAAAAUUCACAUUUUAAUGUGAAAAUUUGCAAAUAUAUAUAUUCCUACUUUCCAGAAUUUGCAUUAUAGAAGAAUUUUGUCAGAGAAUAGUUACCCGCGCUGUCAGGAUUGUAGUAAAUCACAUGUUCAUGUUGCUCGAUACUGUGCAUUCACUAUGCAUGUUUGAUCAAAAUUAAAUUAUCAGUGGCCAAGUUCAAUGCGUCUAUGAGUUUUAACAACUGGUUAAACUGGCUAUUCAUAAAUUCAUCCAGUAACAGUAAAGGGGAAAUAGCCAUUACAAUUUGGGCAAUCUGAUUUUCCCGCAACAAACUGAUACAUGAAAGAAAAGUACAAAGUGUGGAGGAAGUUGUUACCUUUAUCAGGGGUUAUGGCAGGGAGUACAAGAGGCGUUUUGGAAUAUUACAACACCCCUGACCCAGAUAGUUGAUAAAAUGGGAGCCCCCCCUACGAAUUGGGUCAAAGUGAAUGUUGACGUCGGUUUCUCAGAGGCAAAACAACAUGCAACAUUGGGUUUCUUAAUUAGAAAUGAUGAAGGUCUUAAAAUAGGGUCGGGAAUCAGAACUCAUAACCUAGUUAGAUCGGUGGUGUUGGCUAAAGCGAUGGCUGCUCUUCACGGGCUCUAGUUUGCGUUGGAGAUGGGUUUCACGAAAAUUAUUUUGGAAAGUGACUCUAAAACAAUUAUUAAAAACCUCCAAGCAACAAAGGAAGACUAUUCAGAGAUAAGACCGAUUACUUGGGAUGUGAAGGCUCUUACAAUGAAAUUUUCUUCAUGUCAUUUUGAGUUCGUUGCGGGAGAAGGUAACGCAGUGGCGCAUGCGAUGGCGGUCGAAGGGAUGAGAAGAUCAGAAGACUCGUUCUGGGUUGAAGAUGCCCUAUUAAAAGCGAUGGAAAUGGCAGAUUUGGAUCGUCUUUUCAUCUGGCCACCAUAAUUUCCCUCCUCUGCUGCUCGCUGCUCUGGGUUGAGAACUUCUGAUAUUCUAAAGGUAUAUCUCAACUCCCUUCCAUUGUUUGCUAGUUCUGAUUACCAGAUCUCGCAAGGUUUUGGCUGUUUGGGUUUUCUGGUCACUGAAGGGUUUGGAAGAAGCUUCUAGAGUUGCAUCAUGUUUUAUUUUCUUUAUUUUAUCUGUUUGAACUUCAUUUUCUAUCUGCUUUUGUUUUGGACUUCCAAGCCCAUUUUAAUCAAAAUGAACCGUUUAUUCAAAAAAAAAAAUAACUUUUUGACAAAAAAAAUACUUUUAAGCAAAAGCUAAAAAUUUUUAGUUUUGCUUUUGAUAAAAAAAAUAAUUUUGUAAAAUAUUUUUUUAUCUCAAAAAUAUUUUUAAAAAGCUCAAAAGUAUAUUGUUUAGUAAUAUUUUCAAAUCAAAAGUAUUUUUUGUCUCAAAAAUACUUUUGAAAAGUAAUACUAAUCAGACUCAAAAGUAAUUACGAUUUUUUUGUGUCCUUAGACACCGAUAGACACUCAAUUUGAUUGUUGGAACUGAAAAAAAAAGAAGUGUUACUUUCAUGUAUUUUCCAAUUAUUAUAUAUAAGGAGAUGGUAGUGAAACACUUUUUUUUCUCAAUUAAAAAAAAAAUUUAAGUGAGUAGUUUAUGGGAGAGUGAGUAGUUUUCUUUUUAGAUCUGACUUUUUUAAAGGUUGGAAUUAAUGAAUAUAAAAGUAAAAAGAUUGGUAAAUAUUGAUUAUUUACUGUUUUGUUCUACAUUUUCUUGAUUUAUAUUAACUUUUAAAGAGAUUUUAGUAACGUCAGUUAAGACCAUAAACUUAAUCAGAAAUAGUAAAAAACUUUAUGGCAGAAAAAAGUAAAAAAUAACUAAAAAAGAAAAAGGGAACUAAAAUAUGAUAACCUCUUAAUCCACUAAUGAAAUAAAAAUUUCACUAUUUAUAAUCUACUUCCCUUUUCCGGGCCAGUGUUUCAAACUAGAAACUUCUUUGGGUCAUCUUCAUAUUAGAUUGAAGCCCGAUUUUAGGUUUAUGUACCAAAACCAAAAAUUAGUUAUGUUUGGUAAAUGAAUUUGAAUACAUGCACCACCACUCUCAAUGCUCACCCACCUAAGCCCAUGACAUAAACUGCAUUUAAGUGAACCAGUGGCAGUUGGAGCCAUUAUGUUGGUUGAAAAAUAUUGUUGGCAGUGUUAUUCAGCAGUACUUGUUCUAAGGCUCCUACUACAUUUCUCAUUAUAAAUGUGGAGAAAUCUUGUUCUACUUUCCAUUCCAUGCAACACUAACUUUUAGAUUCCCUUUCCAUUGCACUGCUCUUUCUUUCUAUAGAAUUAGUCACUCCUGUUCUAGAUGAAGGUUCUCUCCCCAAUUCUUGCUUGCCUAGCGGUAAGUUUUUCGAUUUCAUGUGAUUAUUCGUUGUUGAAUGCAAAGAACUAUGAAGGGUUUUUUUUUACCUCAACUUUUCUUGUUUGUUAUUUGUUGUUACAGCUUGCUGUGGUGGUAAGCCAUGCUGCUCUCUCACCUGAGCAAUAUUGGAGCUAUAAGCUGCCAAAUACUCCAAUGCCAAAGGCUGUCAAAGAAAUUCUACAUCCAGGUGAGUGUUUAAUAUCCCAAGAAUUCUUUUUUUUUUUUUUGAAUCAUGUUUACUCACCGACAAAACAGGACUACUGUGAUAUAAGCCCUCAACUUGAGAUGGUCAGGAAAGUGAGGACUGUAGAAUAUCAGACCCUGGUUUCCCAUAGAAUUGAAUUGAGCCUAAUGCAGCAAACAAUCAUGUAAUCGUGGAAGCCGGGUAAUAAUCAGAAAUGAGGUGCUUAACAUAGUUCUGUUCCUGCAAUUUAUUAAAAGAGAAAGAGCCAGGAUACUUUCUGUUUAGCAAUAUAUUUCAGAAAACAUAGGAAUAGGAUGUGUUCUGCACAUAUUGACUUAUUAUGAAAAAAAUUGUUGGAAUCAUGCAUUCAUCAGCAUGUAUAUGAGCUCUCUAGCCCAUUUUGGUGUAUUUGCAGAACUGAUGGAGGAGAAAAGCACCUCUGUAAAUGUAGGAGGUGGUGGUGUAAACGUCAAUACAGGAAAAGGGAAGCCUGGGGGUGACACCCAUGUGAACGUUGGAGGCAAAGGAGUUGGAGUGAACACGGGAAAGCCAGGGGGUGGCACUCAUGUGAAUGUUGGAGACCCUUUUAAUUACCUAUAUGCAGCCAGUGAAACUCAAAUCCAUGAAGACCCGAAUGUGGCUCUUUUCUUUCUGGAAAAGGAUAUGCACCCCGGGGCAACAAUGAGCCUGCAUUUCACUGAAAAUACAGAGAAAUCAGCUUUCUUACCUUAUCAAACUGCCCAAAAAAUACCGUUUUCAUCUGACAAGUUGCCAGAAAUUUUCAACAAGUUUUCAGUGAAACCUGGAUCACUGAAGGCAGAGAUGAUGAAGAACACAAUUAAGGAGUGCGAACAGCCAGCGAUUGAAGGAGAGGAAAAAUAUUGUGCAACCUCACUGGAGUCAAUGAUUGACUAUAGCAUUUCCAAACUAGGGAAAGUUGAUCAGGCAGUCUCAACAGAAGUGGAAAAACAAACCCCAAUGCAAAAGUAUACAAUAGCAGCUGGAGUGCAGAAGAUGACAGAUGACAAAGCUGUAGUGUGCCACAAGCAGAAUUAUGCAUAUGCUGUCUUCUAUUGCCAUAAAUCAGAAACAACAAGGGCUUACAUGGUUCCUUUAGAGGGUG
rnacentral:lncRNA from 1 species